rnacentral:rRNA from 1 species
AGCGUAGGCGGAUUUUUAAGUGGGAUGUGAAAUACCCGGGCUUAACCUGGGUGCUGCAUUCCAAACUGGAAGUCUAGAGUGCAGGAGAGGAAAGUGGAAUUCCUAGUGUAGCGGUGAAAUGCGUAGAGAUUAGGAAGAACACCAGUGGCGAAGGCGACUUCCUGGACUGUAACUGACGCUGAGGCUCGAAAGCGUGGGGAGCGAACA